GGAGCUGUGUGUGUGUUUGUGUAGUGUGUAUAGUGAAUGCAGAGUGUGUUUGUGUAGUGUGUAUAGUGAAUGCAGAGUGUGUGUUUGUGUAGUGUGUAUAGUGAAUGCAGAGUGUGUAUAUAAUGCAUUGUGUGUGUUUGUGUAAUGUGUAUAUAAUGCAGUUUGUGUAGUGUGUGUAUGUAAUGUAGUGUGUGUGUAUGUAAUGCAGUGUGUGUGUGUUUGUGUAGUGUGUGUAUGUAAUACAGUGUGUGUGUGUUUGUGUAGUGUGUGUAUGUAAUGCAGUGUGUGUGUUUGUGUAGUGUGUGUAUGUAAUGCAGUGUGUGUGUUUGUGUAGUGUGUGUGUAUGUAAUGCAG